rnacentral:rRNA from 1 species
GACGGAGGGCGCAAGCGUUGUUCGGAAUCACUGGGCAUAAAGAGCACGUAGGCUGUCAGUUAAGUUCGGUGUGAAAGCCCCCGGCCCAACCGGGGAAUUGCAUUGAAAACUGGCUGACUAGAGGACAGGAGGGGUGAGUGGAACUCCAGGUGGAACGGUGAAAUGUGUAGAUAUCUGGAGGAACACCGGUGGCGAAAGCGGCUCACUGGCCUGUUUCUGACGCUGAGGUGCGAAAGCUAGGGGAGCGAACGGG